GAGAGGAGCACGCCGGGGAAAUGUUUGUAGGAGGUACGUUGUAGUACGCCGCGGAAUAUCGUAAUUUAAACACUCUGGAACUAAAUGCAUUACAGUAACCUAAUGUUGAAACAUAGGAGCCGACUACCGGAGCCGCUGAUCAUACGAUUCGGAGACCUAGGCUUAAUGAAUCAUGGAAUUGGCCAGGUGAUGGCGAGAAGUAUAAAAGUAUAGUCAAGUUUGAAGAUCCUUGGAAACCUCCACUGCUUUGGUCGGGCUGGUAGGAGGCUCCUUGGCACAGGCGCUCCUCUCUCUCUCUGCCCUUACACUCAAUUAACAUUCCACACCUACAUUACACACAUUCACCCAUCAAUACAGACUGUUCCCUAAAUUUAUUUAUUGUCAAUUUGUAUAUACAUGAUCGGAACUGUACAUAUUGUGUUGUUGUGUAUGAAUGGCCAUUUGUAUUUUGUUAAAUAUUUUCUGGUAAUGGUUCACAAUUAUAUGGUGUCACCAAACUCAAA